rnacentral:rRNA from 1 species
AUUGAACGCUAGCGGGAUGCUUUACACAUGCAAGUCGAACGAGUGGCGGACGGGUGAGUAAUAUAUCGGAACGUGCCCAGUAGCGAGGGAUAACUACUCGAAAGAGUGGCUAAAACCCAAUACUAUUGGAGCGGCCGAUAUUGGAUUAGCUAGUUGGUGGGGUCAAGGCGCACCAAGUCAACGAUCCGUAGCUGGUUGGAGAGGACGACCAGCCACACUGCGACUGGGACACGGCCCCGACUCCGACGGGAGGCAGCAGUUGGGAAUUUUGGACAAUGGGGGAAACCCUGAUCCAGCCAUCCCGCGUGUAUGAGAAGGCCUUCGGGUUGUAAAGUACUUUUGGCAGAGAAGCGGUAUCUGCAGAAUAAGCACCGGCUAACUACGUGCCAGCCGCCGCGGUAAUUC